UAACAGCUCUCGCGCUUUGUUCACAAUUCUUCUUUCUAUUCCUCGAACCAGUUUGUUGUUUGUUUCCCAUUUUUCAUUGCUCCAAGAAGUUAGAAGCUUUCUUUGGCCAUCUCCUCAAGUCGGUUCGUCGUCGGGAAUGUCAGCCCUCCGGGAACGGUCUCUCCACAUCGCCGAUUUGCAGGCGUGGAUGGACAAGGCGUACUUCGUUAAUGACUGCUUCCCAGAGCUUAAGGGAGAGAUUGUGAGUGCAAAGUUAAUUGUUCAGAAAUCGGGUUACUGCUAUGGUUUUCUGGAGUUUAGGUCUCACAAGGUAGCAAAGCUUGUUCUGGAGACAUACAAUGGCAAGCAGAUGCCCAAGGCGUGUCAACAUUUCCGUCUCAAUUGGAGCAGGUCCACGAGGGCAUUGCAAACUACAGAUGCUUCUCAAGGAGGGAAUUACAAGCUUGUAGUUGCUGGGGAUCUGCCGAAGGAUGUUACUGCUGAAGAACUGCAGCAGCACUUUAGAACCUAUUACCCUUCAGUUAAGGAUGCUGAAGUUCACACCAGUGAAUCCCAGGGGUUGUAUGGUGUUAUCACAUUUGCAAAAGAGCAUGAAAGGCAUCUGGCCUUAAUUCAUAUGGACAUGCAAUGUUUUAGGAGGAAAGAAGACGGCAAACCGCAUCAUUUCUUCUAUAAAGACACAGCUGCUGAGUACCAGAGAGCUGCCUACCCAAGUACCCAUCCAGAGGAUGCACAUCCAAAUGGUUCAACAAUUUACAUUCAAAACUUGGAAAAGGAUGUUACCGAAGGGUUCUUGCUACGGAAAUUUUCCCCCUAUGGUGAGGUUUCUAAAGUCACCAUAAGGGGAUGUGCUCUGAUUCAGUUUGUUGAUAGAUCGAGUGGCGAUAUAGCAUUGCUUCACAUGAAUGAUGACCUCAUUCAGCAGAAUAGCUUACUUACACUGACCAUGAGAAAAUUAAAUGAUGAAUCUGUUCCAGUAGCUUCAUCUGUUGAAGACUUCAAGGAACUAACAGAGCUUAAGGAAUUAACCCAUGAAGAUGAAAGAUCAGUAUCUGGGUUCAAAGAGUGUGAAGUCGAUUCGUCCUCGUUGGAAAUGGCAGACCGCCGUUCCCCGUCUCUCCACAUCGCUGAUUUGCAGGCCUGGAUGGACAAGCCCUACUUGCGGGACGAGUGCUUCCCAAAGUUUCCGGGAGAGGUUAUGAGUGCUAGCAUUUUUGUGGAGAAAUGUGGUUAUCGCUAUGGUUUUCUGGAGUUUAGGUCUCCUGAGGUAGCAGAGCUUGUACGCAAGACGUACAAUGGCAAGAGGAUGCCCAAGGCGUGUCAAUAUUUCCGUCUCAAUAGGAACAGGUCCAAGAGACCACCGGGAACUAUGGCUGCACCUGAAGAAGGGAAUUACAAGCUUGUAGUUGAUGGGGAUUUGCCGAAGGAUGUUACUGCUGAAGAACUGCAGCAGCACUUUAGAACCUAUUACCCUUCAGUUAAGGAUGCUGAAGUUCACACCAGUGAAUCCCAGGGGUUGUAUGGUGUUAUUACCUUUGCAAAGGAGCAUGAAAGGGAUCUAGCAUCAAUUCAUAUGGCCAGUCAAUGUUUUAGGAGGACAGAAGACGGCAAACCGCAUCAUUUCUUCUAUAAAGAUACAGCUGCUGAGUACCAGAGAGCUGCCUACCCAAGUACCCAUCCAGAGGAUGCACAUCCAAAUGGUUCAAAAAUUUACAUUCAAAACUUGGAAAUGGAUGUCACUAAAGGGUUCUUGCUACGGAAAUUUUCUCCCUAUGGUGAGGUUUCUAAAAUCACCAUAAGGGGAUGUGCUCUGAUUCAGUUUGUUGAUAGAUCGAGUGCUGAUAAAGCAUUGCUUCACAUGAAUGAUGACCUCAUUCUGCAGAAUAGCUUACUUCCACUGACUGUGAGAAAAUCAAAUGAUGAAUCUGUUCCAGUAGCUUCAUCUGUUGAAGAUCUUAAGGAAUUAACCCAUGAAGAUGAAAGAUCAGUAUCUGGGUUCAGAGCGUGUGAGGAGGAGUCCACAGAUGAAAAAAUAACAGAGGAGAGGGAGCAAGAAAAUGAUGAAUCUGUUCCAGUAGCUUCAGCUGUAGAAGAUCUUGAGGAACUAACACAUGGAGAAUCACCGAAAGACCUUAAGGAAUUAACCCAUGACGAUGAGGGAUCAGUAUCUGGGUUUAGAACGUGUGAGGAGGAGUCCACAGAUGAAAUAACAGACGAGGGGAGGCAAGAAAAUGAUGAAUCUGUUCCAGUAGCUUCAGCUGUAGAAGAUCUUGAGGAACUAACACAUGGAGAAUCACCGAAAGACCUUAAGGAAUUAACCCAUGACGAUGAAGGAUCAGUAUCUGGGUUUAGAACGUGUGAGGAGGAGUCCACAGAUGAAAUAACAGACGAGGGGAGGCAAGAAAAUGAUGAAUCUGUUCCAGUAGCUUCAUCUGUAGAAGACCUUGAAGAACAAAAACAUGGAGAAUCACCGAAAGACCGUAAGGAAUUAACCCAUGAAGAUGAAGGAUUAGUAUCUGGGUUCAGAACGUGUGAGGAGGAGCCCACAGAUGAAAAAAUAACAGAGGAGGGGAAGCAAGAAGAGGAGGUGAAAAAAGUCAGAAGGGCAAAGACGGAGGUUAGUGAAGGACAGAGACGGAGGAGGAAGGCGAAGAAGGCAAGGCAGAAGGAGAAAAAGAAGCUUCUUAAGCAAACCGAUGAACGGUUGGAGGCAUCAGAAGGGCAGCAAACCAAUGAAGGGUUUGAAGCACCAGAAGGGCAGCAAACCAAUGAAGGCUCGCAAGCAUCAGAAGGGCAUCAAUUGGUCAUCUCUUGGCUGUGGGAGUUGUAUGCGAGCUUGAAGCACUACUUGUUCGGCUGCUAAGGCCAGGGGAAGCCAAAUAUGAUGCAGCAAUAGAGGAAAUAAAGAAAAGCAGAGAAAGAUUUGCCAUAAGAGCACAGAACGAAAGCUGAAGAGAAAGAGAAAAAGAAGAGUGCUAGAGAGAAUGAAAGAAAAAAGGCAACUCAAGCUGAAAUUCUAAUGGAGCCUGAUUUCACUGCAGUACACAAAGCAAACCAAGGUAAAAACCCGUCCCUAUGCCUCUUUUGAAAUGCAGUAAGAGAAUGAUGCAGCCUUUGAUGUGGGUGCUUGUUACAUUCUGGUUAUCGUUUUCUUGUCGACAUACGCUUCAAAGGUAAUUUGACAGAUUUCAUUGAGACAUUUCCAUACUAUUUAUUCUAUAUAGCCAAUUUUUUGGAUGUGACAUUUGACUGGUCAUGUAUGAGUUUGUUUGUAUGCUGCAGUGAUUUACACAGCCUGCCUAAACAGCUGGUACAAGUACAAUAUCAUUUGAAUUCCUGUGCAUUUUGGUUGCUGUUUUAUUUUAGUGUGCGGCUUUAGUAUUGUCUGUAGUGGUUAGUGUAUGAUGGUAUCGAGUCCAUUAUCAACAUUUGACCCCAUCUCCUUUUUACCUUUUCUCUGCACGGGGUUUAAUUCAUUUUGCAGAGUCGAAACAGCUGCUAUGUACAUGGAGUUUACUAGAUUCUCAAGGUUUUUCAGGGGUGUUUGCAGAACUUCAGCAUGCAAGUAAAAGGUUUGCACUCUACUUUCCUGAUGUUCUUUUUUAGUGCAUUGAUCUUAAUUAUGGUUGAUGUCUAUAGUUACUGGUAGAGCUUAAACUAGAGUCGUCUUUGCUACUUCUGUUAUGAGAUUGGUUAUAUCCAACUUUUACUUUCAACACAUUGUUGACUUAAUUUCAACGUAAUCAGAGUCCAAGUGUUAUGUUGUGACUUAGUUUAUUGUUCACUUUCAUGUAUGCCAUUUUGCCUUCGUGUGACCUUACCGGUUGAGGAUCGAAGUUGCCUUGUUUCUCUGAACAAUUUGAGGCCAGUUGCUUGCUUUUCCUAUUCAAGUGAUGUUAGGGAAAGGGAUGACAGCCUUGUAAUUAAGGAUUUAAAUCCAAGCCAGGUUUGUUUUACUGGAAGUUUAUUUUAUAUUAUUGUAAGCUCUUUGUUCAUAAGCUACCUGGGUGUUGACA